AGCAGCCGCGGUAAUUCCAGCUCCAAUAGCGUAUAUUAAAGUUGUUGCAGUUAAAAAGCUCGUAGUUGAAUUUUGGAUUCUGCCAGUUGGUCCAUCUUUUGAUGAGUACUGAUUGUGUGGGGUCUAUCCGCCUGGUGAUACGUAAUGUACUUUAUUGUAUGUUGCGGGUAGUCAGGACCUUUUACCUUGAAAAAAUUAGAGUGUUUAAAGCAGGCUUAUGCCGGAAUACAUUAGCAUGGAAUAAUAGAAUAGGACGAUGUUGUUUAUUUUGUUGGUUUCUAGGGACAACCGUAAUGAUUAAUAGGGGAUAGUUGGGGGCAUUAGUAUUCAAUUGUCAGAGGUGAAAUUCUUGGAUUAUUGAAGACUACUACUGCGAAAGCAUUUGCCAGGAUGUUUCAUUAAUCAGAACGAAAGUUAGGGGAUCGAAGACGAUCAGAUACCGUCGUAGUCUUAACCAUAAACUAUGCCGACUAGGGAUCGGAUGAUG
rnacentral:rRNA from 1 species